rnacentral:rRNA from 1 species
AUUGAACGCUGGCGGCAGGCCUAACACAUGCAAGUCGAGCGGAUGAAAGGGGCUUGCUCCUGGAUUCAGCGGCGGACGGGUGAGUAAUACGCAGGAAUCUACCUAGUAGUGGGGGGAUAACGUUUCGAAAGGGACGCUAAUACCGCAUACGUUCUGAGGAAGAAAGCAGGGGAUCGUAAGACCUUGCGCUAUUAGAUGAGCUUGCGUCCGAUUAGCUAGUUGGUGGGGUAAUGGCCCACCAAGGGGACGAUGCGUAGCUAGUCUGAGAGGAUGAUCAGCCACACUGGGACUGAGACACGGCCCAGACUCCUACGGGAGGCAGCAGUGGGGAAUAUUGGACAAUGGCCGCAAGGCUGAUCCAGCCAUGCCGCGUGCAGGAAGACGGACCUAUGGUUUGUAAACUGCUUUUGAACGGGAGAAAACCCCCCUACGUCGUAGGGGGCUGAUAGUACUGUUAGAAUAAGCAUCGGCUAACUUCGUGCCAGCAGCCG